ACCUGAGCCAAAGUCUGGUGCUUAACCAACUGAGCCACCCAGGUGCCCCUGUUGUUAAACUUUAAAAUGUUCUGCCAAUAUGCAAAGGCAAGGAAGAGUGGUUUCUUAUUGUAGUAAUUCCAUUUAUAUAAUUAUGAUCCAUUUGGAUUUCUUUUUCUAUUUAGUCUUCUUUCCUAAUUUUCUAUUAGAUUGUAGGUUUUCCUAACUAAUUUGCAAGUGUUCUUUCUAUGUUAAGUAAAUGAGUCCUUUAUUUGUUAUACGAAUAUCUUUUUUUUUCUUAGUUAUCUUUUCACUUAAUUCUUUCAUACAGAAAAUUUUAACCUUUAUGUAAUCGAAUUGAUUGAUCUUUGUCUUUAGGGAUUCUGGGUUUUAGGUCUUCCUUUGAAAAAUUUUUCUUUCCCUGAGGUACAGAAUGAAAAAUUCAUAUUAAAAAUCCAAAAGUACCUAAUUAGUGAAAACACAGUUAUUCUCCAUGAGCCAUCUGGAACUUGCUCCCAUCAAGCAUGAUGAGAUUCAGUAGAAAUCACCACCCCUGCACUGUCAGGCCAUUGAUCUCAGCACUAAUCUUGGCAGUUCCCAGGGAUGCAGAGGGGUCAGUUCUAGGGGACUGACUCUGUGUGACACUUCCAGCCACAGUGGCCUUUACUCCAUAGGUCAGGGAGACAAUGUAAACGUUCUGCCAGUUGCCAAGUUUACCUAUUCCUUCUAUGCACCCUGGGAUGGAGGAGAUAACCACAGUUGGUGUCCACGUUGGACACACCGUGAGAAGUACUUGUACCAGGACACCAUCCAUCACUUGACCUCUGUGAGCUCCCAUCUGAGUGGUGGCCCAUGGCGAUAUUUCAGGUCUCCGGGUGUUUCAUGUCAGUUCAGAGCCAGUAUCUAAUAACUCCUGGGAGGUUUGUAUAUUUCCUUCUCCAGCCCCGGUUACCAGGGUAAAUGGCCACAGUUUGCCCUGGGAAAGCUUUGGAAGAAAAUUCUAAUUAUACUUUAUGGCUGCAUUAUACAUUUGUUCUGGAGCUCUGGGGCUCUGAACUAAAGAAGAGGUCAUGCAUCCCCCUAGGAUAAUUUGAGUUAGGUUUCUGCCAAUAAAUCCACAUUUUUUUUCUUAUAUAUGUCAAACUGCAUUUUCGUAGGCUAUCUAUCAAUUUCGUUUCUAAGGACACCAUGAUCAAUUAGUCAUUGCCACAAAUCCCUGCUGUACCAUUCUGCCCUUGUGGCUGGCUUCUUGUAGCAAUCAUGCCCACCUUGUCAGAUUGGCGGUUCCACCUGGGCUCCUGCCUGCAGAGAAGAGCCACCACAGAGCUAUUCAACGAGCUGUGCAGUUGUCCCAUCCCCAAUACACUUGUCACUGUGUUUGGAGAGUAUUCCCAGGUCUAGAGUGGAUUAAGACUGGAGGGGAGCAAGUCCCAAGCAGGGUACAUAGGGAGGAUUCGUUCUGAUCUUCCUAUCCCUCUGAGCCUCUGCAGGAAGCUUUUGGUGAUUCAUUCUGACUGUAGACUACUGUGGAAGGCAGAAUAGUUACCAUUGGAAUUAAGGUACUAAACGCCUAAGCUUAAGGAGAGGAUCUUAGGUCAUCCAGGUGCUCCCCGUGUAAUCACAAGAGUCCUUAAAUAGAGAAAAGGGAAGGAGAAAAGUCAAUGUGAGAAGAAUUGUGGCUGGAGAAGGGUUAGGUGGUCACUGGGGCUUUGAAGACAGAAGAAAGAGUCGCAAGCCUAGAACUGCUGGGCAUCUAGAAGCAGAAAGAAAACAGAUUCUCCCCUAGAGCUUCCUGAAAGGAACGCAGUUCUGUCAACACCUUGAUUUUAGCCUUGUGAGGCGCAUUUUGGACUUCUGACCUCCCAAACUUCCAGGGCUGCCAAAACAGAGUCCCCCAAACUGGAUGACAGAACAACAGAAACUUGUCUCACAGUCUCCAGAUGAGAAGCCUGACAUCAAGAUCCUGAUGAACUACCACCUUUGCAUGUGCCGGCUCAGCGGACAACAGGCUGAAGACCAUGUGCUUGGGACGUUAGAGUUAAGGCCCAGUGGUUCAGAUCUUCCUAUGUCUCUGUCACUGCGUCUACCCUGGUGGGCAGCAGCCAGCUGUGGCUUCCUCUCAGGGGGCUGUUGGGAUUAUCAUCUGUCAUGAUGCUCCUAUGAAGCAUGGGAGACUUCCCAUGAGCCCUGGUUCCCACCUUCUCCUUUUCUUAGAGCUAAGCAUUUUAUUUAAAAUUCUCCACUGGAUUUCCAUUUCAAGAUUGAAAUUAAUAUUUCAAAAGAAGGGUUUGGUGCCACAUCAUAGGGAUGAGGAAGAGAGUGGGGUGGGGUCCUCUUGUUCAAACACUCUGAUUCCCACUGUCUGAGGCACAGAGCCCAUUCAGUGACCAGAUCAUUUGGACCCUCUCCUUUACUCCAGCCUUCAGGAUAACAGAUGACCUUAUAAAGGUCGAGGCUCAAAUAAUAAAGCUCUUCCUUUAUUCCUGCCGCCCCCCCACCCCAAACACAAACACAGAAAAUGGAUGGCCCCACAGGAAUCCUGCGGAAGGCAUGAAUCUCUGUAGGAAGGAUAGGUGGGGCAGGGGAAGGAGAGGAAAUGCAUCUGCUUGGGUGAACUGCAGGGGCUUGGAGGUUAUGUGGCUAGGGCAGCUGUCCCUGGGAGGGGGUGUGGAGGGAGAGGGCCAGGAGAGAAAGGAAGCAGAGGUCAGGGACAGCGUAUGGCCACCUGUUUCAAAUGUGGCUGGAGGGUUAGGCAGCAGCGGUCUCUCAGUGGUGGCAUGUGGGAAUGGAGGAGUCUUUUCCUGCAUUUCCAACCUCAAGGAUGGGUUGGGAUGCCUGUGGGUAUAGAUAACCAUUUUUGGGAGUGGUGGGGUAGUCCUGAUCCCAACUACUCACAUACAUACAGGUAUUGGUAUAAUUUGGUCGGUUUUGUAUUUCUUUACCUGUAUUACUUGUCCUGUUUUGGUUGGGCCAUAUGGUAAGUGUAUAGCAAAAUGUGCUUUAAUUUUGAUUCCUUUCGUAAGGAUUUUCAAACAAAUAGCUCUAUAACGGAAAUCUCUUUAUCAAACUAUUAGUCCAGAUUUUUAGUUGGGUUAGACUUAACACUUUAGGAGGCUCUCUGAUCAAGGAGAUGUAAAUUCCUUGGAGCAGGGGCCAUUUUUUUAACUUUUGUGUCUGCGUGGCUAAAAAAAAAAGGGGGGGGCACUUGAUAAAUUAAUGAUGGUUCUUGUUAUCAGUGAAGGUUCCCUCUUUCUUCCUCCUCCCCCCCAUCUAUUUGGAAAGACAAACCAAUAAUUAUGAUGACUCUUAAUAUUUAUAGUAACAGACUUUAUCAUAACUCAGCCCUUAGGAAGAGGAACACAGCUUUAGGGACGUCUUGAUGGGUUGGGGCCAAGUUAGCAGGAAUCCAGGGUGUGAGCAGUCCCUGUGUGGAGGCUAUUUGUCCAAAAGGACAAGUGGUCAGUGUGGCUGGAAAGCGUAGAAAGCAAGCAUGAAACUGGUAGGAAGGCUUGCAUGGGAGAGAGUGAGAGCAGUUGGUGCCAUGUAUUAACAGGAGCUCUCCUUGCCAGAGUGGAGGGCGGACAGGCAUGGAGCUGAGCAUUACUCGAGGCAGGGGGACCAGCGUAGGAGAAGUUGCAGACAUUAGAGGGGACCGGUCAGGACCUAAACAUGGUGGUGCUUUGGGAUAAGGGAGACCCCAAGCUGUCAAGGAGGUAGGAGAGACUGGGUGCUGCAAAUGACUCUCUCUGCAUCCAGACCAUGGCUGUACACUGGGAUCACAUGGGAGCCUCAAAAAAAUGAUGUCUGGGGCCCCUGAACCCCCAGGGACUCUCAUCUAAUUGGUCUGGGAUGUGGACCAAGCACUGGGAUUGUCACGAACUCCCCAGGAAAUCUAAGGUGCAGCCAAGUUUGAGAAUCACUGAGUAUGGCAAGCUUCUAUACACCAGGCAUUACAUGAAUAACUAUCUACAUGCAUUGUCUCAUUCAGCCCUUUAAACCAGUAGUUCUCCAAGUGGGGUCUCUGAACCAGCAGCGUCAGCAUCCUCUCAGAACUUGUUAGGCAUGUAAUUCUCUGGUUCCUGUUGAAUCAGACUCUGGGAGUGGGGGGCUUCCCGAUAUAUCUUAAUGAGGGUGAGAAUCAUUCCUAAUUGAGAACCACUGACUUAACUCAAAGGACUAAAUCUCUAAUGGUGGAAUUCAAGGUUACAGUAAAUUAUAUUAAGAAAUGAAUUGGGGACAAAAGACCUUCUCAUUGCCUCCCAAAUAAUACCCACAGGCAACUUUCCCAUGACUCCUAUUCUUUUAAUUGGAGAAAAAGUGGGCACAUUCUGUCUGUACCCCUUAUCCUUCGAUAGAAUAAAAAUCUGUUCAACACAGCAAAACAGAACCCUGGCGAUUAUUUCCUUCUAAGAUGACUUUUUUCCUAAAUGUCAGAAUGAGCAGGAUUCAUUUGUCCUUUUACCUCAGUAUGAGGUAUAGACUUUUUUUUCCCCUCAACAGUCUUUUCUUUACAAAAAGCAGGAGAGCAAAUGCUCUUCCAAUUCCUGAGCCUGCACAAACCUCUGACAUGCUUCUCAUGUUAUCAAAAACACACCCGCGCCUCCUCCCCCUCCCCCGCUCCUGCCCCCAACCUGGGCGUCUGGUGGCUUCUGAGAAGACCUGCUGAGGGCUCUGCUCUCCUGAGUUUAUUCUAGGUGUGGAUGUCAGGUAGGAGGAAGUGAGGAAUGGUGUGAGGGAUCUACUGGGUAACAGGCCUGACAAUAGCAGUUUUACCCCUCCAGAUUCCAGUUAGCCCUUUAACUGCCUUUAAUUUCUUAUCCAGAAGAAACCAGUAAUGGGGAAAUGACAGGAACUGACGCAGGCUCACGGGUAUAAAUCCGGGAGAGGGGCCCCUACCUCCCUACCUCAGGUAACUGCCUUUUGCUUUCCUGCACUCUUUCCCUUGAACUGUGGGGAUGGCUCUGGUGGCACUUAAACGACAGAACCGGUGUUCUGCAAAACAGUGCCUCAGCAAACAACUGGCUUUCUGUACUCCAGGACUUCUCAGAGCCUUUACAACACAAAUGGGUAUUGUGAGCCUCCAAAGAAAUAGCUGCAGUGUGCAAAGUUUCUAAGUCUUAAACACACAACCUCACUUACAAGGGAGGUGUUUUGUGGGCCACGUUCUUGGAAAGACUGAUCUACUAGUAGCUGGCAAAGAGCUAGGGAUAACUAGCAAUAUCAAUGAAGAAAGCUGGGAACCUCUAGUUUGGGAGUAUAGUUCUUAUGGCCUCCUUGCUGAAUAAAUGGGCAACAUCUUCCCCUUCUUCCUCCCAGCCUGAAUUGGGACGUCUUUGAUCCUGAAUACCUUUUUUUUUUUUUUUUUUUACACCUCUAGUUUUCUUCUGGGCUUUAAAUGGACAAGUACACGAAAACACAGGAAUCUCUUUAGCUGCUUUAGCUGCUUAUGUCCCUCACCAGGGACAGCCAUCCUGUCAUUUUGUAUUCUGAAAGUGAAGCCAGCCAAGCCAACCUCCAGCAGGGACUGCCAAAUCCUUACUGCCCGGAAGGCGGGAACCCAGGGAGGAAGCUUUUCUCCCUCCCCCAUUUCCCAUUCUGGUGGAACAAUACGUCUGUUCUAGAAGUACUGUAGAAAGAAAGUGCUCAGCCCAGCUCUCGGAAAUGUCCAGAGUUGACCUGAUAAUAUGCUGAUGCUGCAGAUCUGGCAGUUAGUGAAUAAAGUAUGUUCCUGUUCUAUUUUCUGAAAGCCCUAUGUACGGAUCUGUCCCCAAUGAAAUGAGGCUAAAAGAUCCAGGGAUGCUCCCCUAUUUUAAAACCAUCAACAAGAUGCCGACUUCUCAAGAGCUUGAGGAUUGCCAAGGAGUGAUAUGUGGAGGGGAGGGUAUCACAGAUGCUGUUGUACCCCCACUCCGAUUGAGUAUUGGCUGUUAGCAACUCCCAGCCACGCUUGGUCUCUGGAAAAUUGCCCUUGGCCAGAUGGGAUCCACUUCCCCUCUUGCCCGUGAAUAGUACCUCCCCACCCACAUGCCCAGGGGCUGAGUCGCAUGGGAGUACAGAAUGCCACCCCUUGCCCCAACACGGUCCUACUUCUGGGUACCUUCUGGGUUCCCUGUGGGCUCAGGUGAAAGCCAGGUUCCAGCUCAGUCUGCCCAUCUCCUUACUUAGCUCCCUUCCCUGCCUGUCCUGCUUCUGUUGCUCUUCAUGUUUCCAGAUCUAGCAAUUAACAACACUCAGUUCUAUUUAAAUUUCCAAUAAUAACUUUUUAGUUUAAGUAUAUCCCAUGAAAUAUUUGGGUCACGCUUGCAUUAAAGCUCUCUGCUGGUUAUCUGAAAUUAAAAUCAAACUAGGCAUCCUAUAUUUUAUCAGCAACCCUGUAUGUACCCCUUCUCCUAAAGAGCAUGCCCCCAAUAAAUCAUUUGAACAGGAGUUCCUAUGUCAAGUUCGGCUUUUUGGGAACCUCCUAAGAGUGGGGGUGGGAGAGCAGGAAAGGAACAGACGUGGUUUGAGCCACUCAGGAUCCUUUAUUCAAAAUUACCUGGUGAGUGGCUGGGGAGCAGCUUCCCUUGCAAGCAGAAUUCUAGGAAUCUAAGAACCAGACCCAGAUGCAGUUCUGCCUGGCCCCUGUGAGACGCAGUCAGUUCCCGGAGAGAACACAGUGGCCUCCCAGCCUCCCCAGAGCAGGAUUUGGCUUUCCUAGGUUGGACCUAAUUAGGCAUGAAAUCUUUGUGGGAACAGAUGCCAAUAGACUUUAUUCUGCUUAAAUGAUGGCUCCUUCCCAGCCCUCAUGAAUUACCGGAACUGUAUUGCUAAUGUUACCUCAUUGACUUGAGUCCUCCUAAGAGCAAUGACUGAGCCUCAU